GCAUCGAUGAAGAACGCAGCAAAUUGCGAUAAUUAUUGUGAAUUGCGGAACUCGUGAAUCAUCAAAUUUUUGAACGCAAAUGGCGCCUAUGCUUGCAUAGGUACACCUGUAUGAGUGUUGGUUUUAAUCUUCAACAAACUUUAAUAAAGGGAGUUGAUAUUAUGAGUGUUCAUUUUCUCUGGGAAUUGAUCACUUUAAAUGGAUGAUUAUCUUCAAGAUUCUUCAGUGACAUUGAAUUGUGCUUGGAAUUACAUUGUUGAUAAACUUCAAACUCUAUUUUCCAACCAUCAACCUCAUAUCAGGUGAGAGUACCCGCUGAAUUUAAGCAUAUCAAUAAGCGGAGGA
rnacentral:rRNA from 1 species